GGAUUAGAUACCCUGGUAGUCCACACCGUAAACGAUGAAUGCCAGUCGUCGGGCAGUAUACUGUUCGGUGACACACCUAACGGAUUAAGCAUUCCGCCUGGGGAGUACGGUCGCAAGAUUAAAACUCAAAGGAAUUGACGGGGACCCGCACAAGCGGUGGAUGAUGUGGAUUAAUUCGAUGCAACGCGAAAAACCUUACCUACCCUUGACAUGUACGGAAGGCCGGAGAGAUUUGGCUGUGCUCGAAAGAGAACCGUAACACAGGUGCUGCAUGGCUGUCGUCAGCUCGUGUCGUGAGAUGU
rnacentral:rRNA from 1 species